rnacentral:rRNA from 1 species
UACAGAGGGUGCUAGCGUUGUUCGGAAUCAUUGGGCGUAAAGGGCGUGUAGGCGGUUUGUUAAGUCAUGUGUGAAAUCCCUCGGCCCAACCGAGGAACUGCGCCCGAGACUGCUUCUCUUGAGUCCCGGAGAGGAAGAUGGAAUUCCCGGUGUAGCGGUGAAAUGCGUAGAUAUCGAGAGGAACACCAGUGGCGAAGGCGAGUCCCUGGAAAACACCUGACACUGAGGCACGAAAGCUAGGGGAGCAAACAGG